rnacentral:lncRNA from 1 species
UCGAUCUUACGAUUGUGCGCGGUGGCUCUGUAAUUGAGGUGGCCCGUAAUUGGGGCUCUCUAUCUACCGAUUAUAUGACAGCUCGGGAGGAUGCAGCACGAGUUGCCAUCCAGCGGAUGAAGGAGGAACUUGGUUUGCAGAUAAAGGAUGCAAACUAUGAUGAUUUCAUCUUAUAUAAGAACUUGUACGAUGCUGUUGCGCUCCAGAAUAGUGAUUUUGUUGGGCAGCUCACAGGCCUUAGGUCCGAGCACAACCUUCUUAAAGAUUCCUAUGCAACUGUGGUGUCUGAAAAAGCUGACGCUAUAAAUGAACAGAUUAGAUUGCGUCAUGAACUCGAUGAUUGUUAUGCUACAAUCAAC